UACAGAGACCUCAAGCGUUAUCCGGAAUCAUUGGGCGUAAAGCGUACCGAUAGGUGGUUUUUACAAGUCAGAAGUGAAAUCUCAAGGCUCAACCUUGAGACUGUCUUUUGAAACUGUAAAACUAGAGGAGCAAAGAGGAAGCUGGAACCAGCGGUGUAGUAGUGAAAUGCGUUGAUAUCGCUGGGAACACCAAUAGCGUAGGCAGGCUUCUGGGUGCUACCUGACACUGCUAGGACGAAAGCGUGGGGAGCGAAUGGG
rnacentral:rRNA from 1 species